rnacentral:tRNA from 2 species
GCCGGAGUGGUGGAACUGGUAGACGCGCCGGACUCAAAAUCCGGUGAUGCCUGGCAUCGUGUCGGUUCGAUUCCGACCUCCGGCA